GACGAACGCUGGCGGCGUGCUUAACACAUGCAAGUCGAACGGAAAGGCCCUGCUUUUGUGGGGUGCUCGAGUGGCGAACGGGUGAGUAACACGUGAGUAACCUGCCCUCGACUUUGGGAUAACUUCAGGUAACUGGGGCUAAUACCGGAUAGGAGCUCCUGCUGCAUGGUGGGGGUUGGAAAGUUUCGGCGGUUGGGGAUGGACUCGCGGCUUAUCAGCUUGUUGGUGGGGUAGUGGCUUACCAAGGCUUUGACGGGUGGCCGGCCUGAGAGGGUGGCCGGCCACAGUGGGACUGAGAUAGGGCCCAGACUCCUACGGGAGACAGCAGUGGGGAAUAUUGCGCAGUAGGCGGAAGCCUGAUGCAGCAACGCCGCGUGCGGGAUGACGGCCUUCGGGUUGUAAACCGCUUUCGCCUGUGACGAAGCGUGGGUGACGGUAAUGGGUAAAGAAGCACCGGCUAACUACGUG
rnacentral:rRNA from 1 species